UACGAAGGGGGCUAGCGUUGUUCGGAUUUACUGGGCGUAAAGCGCGCGUAGGCGGAUCGAUCAGUCAGGGGUGAAAUCCCAGGGCUCAACCCUGGAACUGCCUUUGAUACUGUCGAUCUGGAGUAUGGAAGAGGUGAGUGGAAUUCCGAGUGUAGAGGUGAAAUUCGUAGAUAUUCGGAGGAACACCAGUGGCGAAGGCGGCUCACUGGUCCAUUACUGACGCUGAGACGCGAAAGCGUGGGGAGCGAACAGG
rnacentral:rRNA from 1 species